GAUGAACGCUGGCGGCGUGCCUAAUACAUGCAAGUCGAGCGAACGGACGAGAAGCUUGCUUCUCUGAUGUUAGCGGCGGACGGGUGAGUAACACGUGGAUAACCUACCUAUAAGACUUGGAUAACUUCGGGAAACCGGAGCUAAUACCGGAUAAUAUUUUGAACCGCAUGGUUCAAGAGUGAAAGACGGUCUUGCUGUCACUCAUAGAUGGAUCCGCGCUGCAUUAGCUAGUUGGUAAGGUAACGGCUUACCAAGGCAACGAUGCAUAGCCGACCUGAGAGGGUGAUCGGCCACACUGGAACUGAGACACGGUCCAGACUCCUACGGGAGGCAGCAGUAGGGAAUCUUCCGCAAUGGGCGAAAGCCUGACGGAGCAACGCCGCGUGAGUGAUGAAGGUCUUCGGAUCGUAAAACUCUGUUAUUAGGGAAGAACAUAUGUGUAAGUAACUGUGCACAUCUUGACGGUACCUAAUCAGAAAGCCACGGCUAACUACGUG
rnacentral:rRNA from 1 species